UGGAGUUUGACUCCCGUUCGACAGCGAGGGUCUUCGCUUAGCCACAUCGUGCAUACGGACCCUGGGAUCGAUACAGUCUCCAAUAGGAGAGGUGUCUGAUGGUGGUGAUGGAUCCUGAAGUUCGUACAAAAUUGAAAAUAUGUCUUCAAGAGAUAAGUUAGGAAAUUCAGCGUGGAUUCGUUCCGAAAAUUGUUUAACUUCUUCAUCUUCUUCUUCGUCGUCGUCUUCUUCUUCCUCUCCUUCGUCUUCAUCUUCUUCUUCUGGAAAAUUAUCUUGGAAUCUGUAAGCCAUUUAUAAUUAAAAGGAUGAUUUGCUAUUAUGAAAGAAUGAAAAUAAAAUACCAACAAUUUCUA